AUAAAAACUGUGAUUGGGAAGAGUAUUUUAGGACCGGUUAUAAGAGAGGAAAGUCCUUGGCUGAAAGACUUUCUUAGCUAGGCUAAUUGAAAACCACCCAUGAGUUCUGUCUUGAAGAAGUUACUUUUAACUUAUAGGGAACAGCGUUUGCUGCGUUAAAGCUUUAAGUGGGUUUAUGCCAAUCUGGGUGGAACCGCGGGAAUUUAUCUCUCGUCCCUGUU
rnacentral:ncRNA from 1 species